rnacentral:rRNA from 1 species
AGCAGCCGCGGUAAUUCCAGCUCCAAUAGCGUAUAUUAAAGUUGUUGCAGUUAAAAAGCUCGUAGUUGAAUUUCGGGAUCAAUACGCCUGUCGUGCCUUCGGUACGUACGGGUGUAAUUGGUUUCUACCUUCUGAGGAUCCUUGAUGUCAUUAAUUUGGUGUCUUGGGGAAUCAGGACUGUUACCUUGAAAAAAUUAGAGUGUUUAAAGCAGGCAUACGCUUGAAUACAUUAGCAUGGAAUAAUGAAAUAGGACGUUCGAUUCUAUUUUGUUGGUUUCUAGGAUCGACGUAAUGAUUAAUAGGGAUAGUUGGGGGCAUUAGUAUUCAAUUGUCAGAGGUGAAAUUCUUGGAUUUAUUGAAGACUAACUACUGCGAAAGCAUUUGCCAAGGAUGUUUUCAUUAAUCAAGAACGAAAGUUAGGGGAUCGAAGACGAUCAGAUACCGUCGUAG